AGGACGAACGCUGGCGGCGUGCUUAACACAUGCAAGUCGAACGCGCUUUACUCCUUCGGGAGUAAAGCGAGUGGCGAACGGGUGAGUAACACGUGAGCAACCUGCCCUUGACUCUGGAAUAACAGCUGGAAACAGCUGCUAAUACCGGAUACGACCUUCGAUGGCAUCAUCUGGAGGUGGAAAGCUCCGACGGUCAAGGAUGGGCUCGCGGCCUAUCAGCUUGUUGGUGAGGUAACGGCUCACCAAGGCUUCGACGGGUAGCCGG
rnacentral:rRNA from 1 species